rnacentral:lncRNA from 1 species
GUUAAUAAGAAAAAGAAAAUUCAAGCCUUCGCUAAUUCCCAAAUUUCAAGCCUCUGCUAACCGAAUUUUUUCUUCGUAUUUAUUCCACAAAAAACCUCACAUUUAUUCCACCAAAAUUCAGGCCUCUGCUAAUGGAAUUUCUUCUUCAUCCCCAAUUUUCUUCUUCUUCCUCACAUUUAUUCCAACAAAACCCCCAAUCUUCUUCUUCUUCUUCUUCUUCAUUCCAACUGUAUCCCCUUCUCUUUCAGUCAGUAGCUUCGCCGCUUCCUUAUCCGCCGCCGACGGCUUCUGAUGCACCUCCUUCGCCUUCAGAGGCUGCAAUGCACGCGGCUCAUAUCAAGGUAAGGUUUCAUUCCAUCUUCUUCCCUCUCUCAAACCAAGAACCUCACUCAAUCAUCUCUAUUGUAGGACAACCCUACUUGCCAUUUUGAAGAACACUUGGAGCUCUCUUUUGGUGUAAGGUGAACCUUACACCCCCUAAGAUCGAGGAUAACUGAUCCAUGAACUUGCAUCCCUAAGAUCGAGGAUAACCGAUCUAUGAACUUGCAUGUGUAUUGGUGUGCUUAAUUUUGUAUGAACUUGCAUGCCGGUAAUUCUUGUACACUCGCUCUGUUUGCUUUGAGGUAUAAGAGAGGGACAACUACAUUUAUCACCUUAUAUUUCAUUUGUUUUGAUGUAUAAAAAAAUUUGAGCAAGUUGUAUAAUUUUUCGAGCAGCCCCUUAUUCAUUGAGAAAUGUAUAAUUUUAUAUUUAAGAGAGGGUGAUAUAAUUUGAUACCACCUUAUAAGAAGUGGAUAAAUAUAUUAUCCUUCAAACCAAAUAAGAUAUAAUAAAUUCGGUUCACACUUUAAGUGAUAAGUUUAUACCUCAUUAUAUUA